UUGCGAGGAAAAGGGCAUGUGAAGCUGAUGGUGGGAACUCCCAAGGGACCAAUGCUGCUAGUGGGAACUCCCAAGGGACCAAUGCUGAUGGUGGGAACUCCAGAAGGACCAAUGUUGGUGGGAACUCCCAAGGGACCAAUGCUGGUGGGAAUUCCCUAGGGACCAAUGCUGAUGGUGGCACUGCUAAUUCUCAAAGGGUUGGUGAUGAUCAGAGUAACAUACAAAUGAGCAAUGGUGGUUUUGAUGACUUGAAUGAUGGUGGAAGUGGCACAUUACAAGUUAUGGACCAACCUACAAAAAAAGCAAGAGGGAGAGGGAAAAAAUGAGACGCAAUUGAGAGUGCCUCCACCUAGUGGGAAGGUUAUGCUGAAGCCUCAGCGUAGCAAGCAAUUCACCUACGUGAACUACAACCCUAAAGACUACAAGUAUGGUUCACAGGUUGGAGCUCUUAUCAAACGGUUCUACCCUGGUAUGGUUAAUAUCCGUGAUGAGGAAGGCAAGAUCCUUGAAAAAAGGCAGCAAUGUCAUGGCAUUAUUAUUAUUGCAAAAAGGAUAUCACAAAUGUAACAUAUGCUAGGCUACUCAAGUGUGAAUUCUGGACUUUGUUCAAGGUAACCCGAGCUGAUGUGAGAAAAGCUGACAGAAAUUUGGAGACUUAUCUAGCAAAAAGAGUUUCUGAUUUGAUAUAUCAGGCUCGUUUGGAUGCUGUAAAGAUUCAUGAGGACUGUGAUGACAAUCAAGCACGUGCUAUACAUCUUACAUAAGAACAAUACAUAGCCAGCAAGCUAUGGUGGUGCGAUAAUGAUGCUUGGGUGUUUCUGUCGAAGUAUUGGACAUCUAAAGAGUACAAGAAAAAGAGGAAGGCUGCUCAAGCUUCACGCUUAAAGUCUGUAGAUGUUGCUCAGAACAGAGGGGGAUCGAGGCCAUGGGGAGAGACACAACAAUUGUUGGAAUAUAAGUUCGGCCCUGAGAAGGCCAGCACUUUUAACACAUAUGCUGUCAUGAAGUCUGGAUUCA